CUCAUCAUCACGCUCGCCAAAAAUGAGGGCUCGCUAUCGCCUCCUCCUCGCUCGCCACAUCCAGGAAGGAGGAUAGCGCUCGCCAUCCACAACCGCCGGCCUCCCCUCUCCCGUGAAAUCUCCCUCGCGUCAUUUCCCCUUCACAGCUUGUGCCGCGUUUUGCCCCCCGCCCCGCCGCCGCGCCAGAUCUUGAGGUGGCGGCGUAUUCCCGGUGCUUACCGUGGUGGACACGAUCCUGCACGCGGCCGCGCGGUGCCUGCCCAGGCUGCUUCCCGCACUCGACGCCUCGUGCACCUACAAUCUGGUGGUCCCCUCACCUUCCGCGAGCUCGCCAACGAGUCCUGCUGCUGUAAACAGCUUUCCCUCAACAGCACCAACCUUUGGCUAUGGCUUCUUGAUCUGUGGGUCUCCCUGGUGUCUCAAUCUCAAUCUAAGAUCACUGCCAAUCUAUCUCAAGCACUUUUUCCCCUUCGGUGGUAGGAAAAGAAAAUCCAAGUUUUCGAUCAAUGAAGAUUGGGGGAAAUGGGUUUGCAGCUGGAUGUUUCUUGAAGGACAUGCCGGUUUGAUGCAAUUUCUUUCUAUCUUAUCUAAUAAUUACUAAACCAUUUAAAUGGUUCAGCUCGUGAGUUAGCAACGUAUUUGUUCCUAACUUUUGUGGGUUCUAUUGAUGCAUUCCCAUCUGAGAUUUAUUUGGGAAAUUUGUUUCUUGAACCUUUUGGUAUGGAUCCCACUAGAACUCUGAGAUUAGGCUUACAUCCAUUCUCCAGUUAGAUUGUUUUGGCUCUACUAUCCCAGAGCAAGUUUUUACCGGUGACAUAUUUUUGUUCCAAGAAGGAAAGAAGUAAUCAGACAAGCAAGGUGAAGGCCCUGGAGGAGAAACAAGGAAAGCAUUUGUAGAUUGAGAAUACUGCUCUCUUUCUUGGUUUUGUGCUUAUUUGGGGGUGCAUAAUUCUUACGAGCUUUAUCUGAAUUGAUUUUGUGUUCUUUUUGUUGUUUAGGCUGCACUGGGGGAAACAAAGAAAGGGAGUGAGAAUGUAGUUGUAUCUGUCAAAGUUAGAACUCUGUCAGCUGAAAGUGUUCUUUGGUAUUAUUAGCAAAGCUGAGGAUUGAAGAGAUAAUAUGUUCUGGAUUGAUGUUUGGGCUUAAAUCUUCGAGCUGAGAGCGCAUUCUGUUACACAUUUGAUUUUCCAAUGACGUUGAACACGAAGUAUUGGUUACUUCAUCUCAA